rnacentral:rRNA from 1 species
CCUACGGGAGGCAGCAGUGAGGAAUAUUGGUCAAUGGGCGCGAGCCUGAACCAGCCAAGUCGCGUGAAGGAUGACUGCCCUACGGGUUGUAAACUUCUUUUAUAAAGGAAUAAAGUGAGGCACGUGUCCCUUUUUGCAUGUACUUUAUGAAUAAGGAUCGGCUAACUCCGUGCCAGCAGCCGCGGUAAUACGGAGGAUCCGAGCGUUAUCCGGAUUUAUUGGGUUUAAAGGGAGCGUAGAUGGGUUGUUAAGUCAGUUGUGAAAGUUUGCGGCUCAACCGUAAAAUUGCAAUUGAUACUGGGAGGCUUGAGUACAGUUGAGGUAGGCGGAAGGCGUGGUGUAGCGGUGAAAUGCUUAGAUAUCACGAAGAACUCCGAUUGCGAAGGCAGCUCACUAAGCUGCCACUGACAUUGAUGCACGAAAGUGUGGGUAUCGAACAGGAUUAGAUACCCGUGUAGUC